rnacentral:rRNA from 1 species
AGAGUUUGAUCCUGGCUCAGGAUGAACGCUAGCGGCAGGCUUAAUACAUGCAAGACGAACGGUAAGUAGUGUAGCAAUACAUUGCCUAGAGUGUCGUACGGGUGCGUAACACGUAUGCAACCUACCCAAAACAGGAGUAUAGCUCGGGGAAACUCGAAUUAACCCUCCAUAAGAUCGUGAAGUGGCAUCACUUAGCGCUUAAAACUGAGGUGGUUUUGGAUGGGCAUGCGUCUGAUUAGCUAGUUGGCGGGGUAAUGGCCCACCAAGGCGAUGAUCAGUAGGGGAACUGAGAGGUUGAUCCCCCACACUGGCACUGAGAUACGGGCCAGACUCCUACGGGAGGCAGCAGUAGGGAAUAUUGGUCAAUGGGUGAGAGCCUGAACCAGCCAUGCCGCGUGCAGGAAGAAGGCCUUCUGGGUUGUAAACUGCUUUUGCCAGGGGAUAAAAUAACCAUGCGUGGUUGAUUGAAGGUACCUGGUGAAUAAGCCACGGCUAACUACGUGCCAGCAGCCGCGGUAAUACGUAGGUGGCAAGCGUUGUCCGGAUUUAUUGGGUUUAAAGGGUGCGUAGGCGGCCCUGUAAGUCAGUGCUGAAAUACCCCGGCUUAACCGGGGGGGUGGCAUUGAUACUGCAGGGCUUGAGUACAGAUGAGGUAGGCGGAAUUGACGGUGUAGCGGUGAAAUGCAUAGAUAUCGUCAAGAACACCGAUAGCGAAGGCAGCUUACUGGGCUGUAACUGACGCUGAUGCACGAAAGUGUGGGGAUCAAACAGGAUUAGAUACCCUAGUAGUCC